GAUGAACGCUAGCGGCAGGCUUAAUACAUGCAAGUCGAGGGGCAGCGCAGUGUAGCAAUACAUGGGCGGCGACCGGCAAACGGGUGCGGAACACGUACACAACCUUCCUACAAGUGGGGAAUAGCCCAGAGAAAUUUGGAUUAAUACCCCGUAACAUAGCGAUGUGGCAUCACAUUGCUAUUAUAGCUUCGGCGCUUGUUGAUGGGCGUGCGGCUGAUUAGAUAGUUGGCGGGGUAACGGCCCACCAAGUCUACGAUCAGUAGCUGAUGUGAGAGCAUGAUCAGCCACACGGGCACUGAGACACGGGCCCGACGCCUACGGGAGGCAGCAGUAAGGAAUAUUGGAGAAUGGACGCAAGUCUGAUCCAGCCAUGCCGCGUGAAGGAUUAAGGUCCUCUGGAUUGUAAACUUCUUUUAUAAGGGACGAAAAAAGGUCUUUCUAGAUCGUCUGACGGUACCUUAUGAAUAAGCACCGGCUAACUCCGUGCCAGCAGCCGCCGUAAGAC
rnacentral:rRNA from 1 species